CUACUCACAAAUGCGGCUCUCAAAUGCAGAGAAAAAAAAACGCUUUAGGACAAGUUAUAGACCAAAAACAAUUUAAAAAACAUUUUCAUUUAGUUAAAGAUGGAACAAGAAAUGUUCUUCAAGAAUUCAGCCUUCUCAGGAACAAGACUUACAAAUACUCUCUUCUGGUGAUGAGGAAGAAGAUAUGUCACAAACAGCAUCUCUAGUAGCAGUACAGCAUAUCAAGAAAUACCCUGCAUGUAGAGAUAAAACAUGUAAACUUAUAUGCAGAAGAUCAUUGUUGUUACUAUAGUUUUAAUGAAAGUUAUAAAAUAGCUGUUAUGAA